CAAUAGCGUAUAUUUAAGUUGUUGCAGUUAAAAAGCUCGUAGUUGGAUUUCGGUUGAGAACGGCCGGUCCGCCGUUUGGUGUGCACUGGCUGGUUUCAACUUCCUGUAGAGGACGCGCUCUGGCUUCACGGCUGGACGCGGAAUCUACGUGGUUACUUUGAAAAAAUUAGAGUGUUCAAAGCGGGCUUACGCUUGAAUAUUUCAGCAUGGAAUAACACUAUAGGACUCCUGUCCUAUUUCGUUGGUCUCGGGACGGGAGUAAUGAUUAAGAGGAACAGUUGGGGGCAUUCGUAUUUCAUUGUCAGAGGUGAAAUUCUUGGAUUUAUGAAAGACGAACUUCUGCGAAAGCAUUUGCCAAGGAUGUUUUCAUUA
rnacentral:rRNA from 1 species